AGGACGAACGCUGGCGGCGUGCUUAACACAUGCAAGUCGAACGGGGCGAAGAGGAGCUUGCUCUCCUAGCCUAGUGGCAAACGGGUGAGUAACGCGUAGGCAACCUGCCCUCAGAUGGGGACAACAUUUCGAAGGAAUGCUAAUACCGAAUGACGUGCAUUGGUCGCAUGACCGAUGUACCAAAGGCCGGGCAACCGGUCACUGAAGGAUGGGCCUGCGUCUGAUUAGCUAGUUGGUGGGGUAACGGCUCACCAAGGCGACGAUCAGUAGCCGGUCUGAGAGGAUGAACGGCCACAUUGGGACUGAGACACGGCCCAAACUCCUACGGGAGGCAGCAGUGGGGAAUCUUCCGCAAUGGGCGCAAGCCUGACGGAGCAACGCCGCGUGAGUGAAAGAAGGUUUUCGGAUCGUAAAGCUCUGUUGUCAGGGACGAGAGACUUGAUCAGGAAAUGGGUCAAGGAGGACGGUACCUGACGAGAAAGCCACGGCUAACUACGUGCCAGCCGCCGC
rnacentral:rRNA from 1 species